AUCGAACGCUGGCGGCAGGCCUAACACAUGCAAGUCGAACGAGUGGCGGACGGGUGAGUAAUGUUUGGGAAACUGCCUGAUGGAGGGGGAUAACUACUGGAAAUGGUAGGUAAUACCGCAUACCAUCGGAUGUGCCCAGAUGGGAUUAGCUAGUAGGUGGGGUAAAGGCUCACCUAGGCGACGAUCCCUAGCUGGUCUGAGAUGAUGACCAGCCACACUGGAACGGAGACACGGUCCAGACUCCUACGGGGGGCAGAAGUGGGGAAUAUUGCACAAUGGGCGCAAGCCUGAUGCAGCCAUGCCGCGUGUAUGAGGAGGGCCUUCGGGUGGUAAAGUACUUUCAGCGGGGAGGCGUUACCCGCAGAAGAAGCACCGGCUAACUCCGUGCCAGCAGCCGCGGUAAUUC
rnacentral:rRNA from 1 species